AUACGGAGGGUGCAAGCGUUAUUCGGAAUCACUGGGCGUAAAGGACGCGUAGGCGGGUUGGCAAGUCAGAUGUGAAAUCCUACAGCCUAACUGUAGAACUGCAUUUGAAACUGCUAACCUAGAGUAUGGGAGGGGGAGAUGGAAUUAGUGGUGUAGGGGUAAAAUCCGUAGAUAUCACUAGGAAUACCGAAAGCGAAGGCGAUCUCCUGGAACAUAACUGACGCUAAGGCGUGAAAGCGUGGGGAGCAAACAGGAUUAGAAACCCUAGUAGUCC
rnacentral:rRNA from 1 species